rnacentral:tRNA from 1 species
GGGCUGGUAGUUAAACCUGGUUACAACGUCCGGCUGGCAGCCGGGUGGUCCGAGUUCAAAUCUCGGCCAGUCCA